rnacentral:tRNA from 1 species
GUCCCCGUCGUCUAGCCCGGUUAGGACAUUGCCCUUUCACGGCAGUAACAGGGGUUCGAAUCCCCUCGGGGACGCCA